GGGAGGCGCGGUGCGGCGGAAGUGCGGCCCUGAGGGGAUGCGGCCUACUCAGAGGCGCAGCCGUGCCGUGUGGCCGUUUGAGUCGUGUAUAGGAUAAUUAGCUUUCAAGUGGAGCAGCGCCAGCUCGGCCUCCUCUACGUGCCAUCCAUCAGAAUGCUGGGUGGAAUGCAGCAUGACCUUGUGUAGCAGCAGAGCAGCAGCAGUGAUGGCAGUGGAGAGCAGCAGCAUGAACCGGUGCGGUGAAAAGCAAAUGAUCCUUGUCAUCCCUCAGGCUUCCUUUGUGCUAUUACGGGAACACCCCUGCUUUAAAAAGAGAAUCAUUUCAUGGAAAGCGAUUUAUUAAACCUCACGAUCUGCCAAGACCCGUGAAUAUUGAUGUGCUCUCAUUAGCACCCUCUGCAAGAGCUGGAAACUCAAUUUGUCGUGGCGUAACGGGAAUUGUGUGUUGCAGAGCAACGAGUGGCGGGGUCUGAAUUAAAGCAAAACUGACAAAGCGUCCCAGCAAUUACAAUCAACUGCUGUUUUGUUUUAAAUGUGGCUAAAGAACCGCUCACAUGCCUUCAGUGACAUGGAAAAUAAGAUAAUACUGGACUCUUCUAGAAGAUAAAGCCUCAAACGGUACAGACUUACUCCCAACUCUUGCAGCAAACAACAACCUGUGCACAGCAGCUGUGCAGGAUGGUGGCAGACGUGAACAACAGCAGCAGUAGUUCAGAGUGAAAAUAGAAGCAUCAGAUGCGUCAGUGACAGCCUUAAUGUGGAAGGACUCUUCCAGACCAAAUGGAGAGGAAAAAAAUGAAUAAAUGGCGGGAGCUGUUGCAGUGCUGCAGUAUUCACAGCCUUCCAAGAAGCUGCAUUUUGCCAUUCUUCACAGAUGGAUGAAUAUUAAAACACCAGCUUUGAAAGAAGAAUGGGAACUCCAGAUGAAAGAACGGUUCCUGUGGAAUGAAUGUUUCUUGUAAUAGAAAAGGAUUGGAACUACUUUUCUUAAAGUACUGCAGAUGGACUUCCUUCCUUAGGUCUUAAAAAUCAGUGUUUAUUGAAAGGUGUUUCUAUGCUUGUGUUUCAGAUUCUUCUGUAAUUGAAAAAAUGGCAUAAGUAUAAAGCUAGGAUAUGUUCCACCUUCUGCUCUUCCCAUCACUCAGCCAUCCAGUUUUCCUCAGAGCAAUGAAAAGUUCUCAGGCAUUGAUCCUCUGAGCUUUGAAAUGGAUCAGAAGGCACAUUUAUGGGUUGUACCAGAGGGUGAAACAGCUCAUAACAAUUACUUUCUUAGGAACAAGGACAGAAGUGCAGAUUUGUUGGGCUCAUUAAACCUUACAAACAUGAAAUAGAAAUCAGUCAGCAUUUCAUAUCCAACAACUGUGAGAUAAAAGCCCAACAGCCAACCUCAACAUGACAAAUAAAAAUGACAAAACAUUCUAGACUGAAGAACACUGAUUUGCUAACAAACCUCCCAGUGCUGACCACAGGCUGCUACUUAAAAUCCUCCAUAAGACAGCAGGGAAAGCAGUGGGGAAGGCUGAGUUCUGCAUCAACUCAGUCCACUAUGAAAACAAGUAUUCGGAGAUGAAGGUUUUAGAAUACAAGAUGCUUGAAUAAAAAGGUGUUUUCAUGCCG